CACAAGCGGUGGAGCAUGUGGUUUAAUCGAAGCAACGCGAAAGAACCUUACCAGGUCUUGACAUCCCGAUGCUAUUUCUAGAGAUAGAAAGUUACUUCGGUACAUCGGUGACAGGUGGUGCAUGGUUGUCGUCAGCUCGUGUCGUGAGAUGUUGGGUUAAGUCCCGCAACGAGCGCAACCCCUAUUGUUAGUUGCCAUCAUUCAGUUGGGCACUCUAGCGAGACUGCCGGUAAUAAACCGGAGGAAGGUGGGGAUGACGUCAAAUCAUCAUGCCCCUUAUGACCUGGGCUACACACGUGCUACAAUGGUUGGUACAACGAGUUGCGAGUCGGUGACGGCGAGCUAAUCUCUUAAAGCCAAUCUCAGUUCGGAUUGUAGGCUGCAACUCGCCUACAUGAAGUCGGAAUCGCUAGUAAUCGCGGAUCAGCACGCCCGCGGUCGAAUACGUUCCCGGGCCUU
rnacentral:rRNA from 1 species